CUGUGGCAGCCAAUCAGGAUGGAGAGAGGGAGGAGCUUCCUUCCUUCAACUCCGGUCCCAGGGAAGGCUGCCUCCAUUACUGAAUUCAGUUGUAAUGGAGGUAGCUGCAAACCGGAGGCCCAAGCAGAGAACCUCUCAUCAAACCAAGGGUUCAAAUUGGAGUUUGGAAAUGCCUGCCUGGAGGCAGUAAUGGGCUGGAUGUAGUAUAACAAAUUGAAGUUGAAUCCAAAGAAGAUGGAAGUACUGAUUGUGGUUGGUCAAGACCUGAGAAAUGGAUUAGAGCUGCCUGUUCUCAACUGGGUUACACUCCCUCUGAAAGAUCAGGGUUGGCUGCAAUUAUGGAGCAGGAAGGCUGUCCUCCUCUUCCCAGGAUAUACAGCUCUUAGAUCCAGUGAGAAGGCCCAGCACAUGUCUGAUGUCACCCUGGUUUUGAACCAGUCGGGAUUUGAGAUUUUGCCUCCAAACUGGAGGUUACUCCUCUUCAAAGGGCCUAAACUUACAUGUCUAAAGAUGGGUCCGGUUUGAGCCAGUUAUCUACUGUGGAAAAGGGUUUAGGCUUGUACCUUGAUGGCUCUGUUCCCUUCAAUGACAAAAAGCAAGAUAGGAUCCACAUUCAGUAACAAAAAGGAGGAAUGUCCCCCUUUCAGAGCACUCAGGGUGGGGUGGAGUUUAAGCCUGAGACAUUCUUGGGCGUAAUUGUUAAAACCUGCUAGGGUCUGGUUCGGAUGAUACCUAACCAGUCCAUACAAUUAAAAAGGGGGUGCAUCAAGUAUGCCCAUUGGGACGUGUUCCUCCUCAUGCAUCCCUGUUAGUGGAGUUGGGUUCUGAAGAAACCACUCAGAACCAUAAUUUAUAAGUAUAAGAAAUGUUACUUAAAAUAAGAAAAACUUAGCUGGGUUACAUGUCUGUUUGGAUGGAGAGAGAGAGAGA